GAUGAACGCUGGCGGCGUGCCUAAUACAUGCAAGUCGAGCGAACAGACGAGGAGCUUGCUCCUCUGACGUUAGCGGCGGACGGGUGAGUAACACGUGGAUAACCUACCUAUAAGACUGGGAUAACUUCGGGAAACCGGAGCUAAUACCGGAUAAUAUAUUGAACCGCAUGGUUCAAUAGUGAAAGACGGUUUUGCUGUCACUUAUAGAUGGAUCCGCGCCGCAUUAGCUAGUUGGUAAGGUAACGGCUUACCAAGGCAACGAUGCGUAGCCGACCUGAGAGGGUGAUCGGCCACACUGAACUGAGACACGGUCCAGACGCCUACGGGAGGCAGCAGUAGGGAAUCUUCCGCAAUGGGCGAAAGCCUGACGGAGCAACGCCGCGUGAGUGAUGAAGGUCUUCGGAGCGUAAAACUCUGUUAUUAGGGAAGAACAAAUGUGUAAGUAACUAUGCACGUCUUGACGGUACCUAAUCAGAAAGCCACGGCUAACUACGUG
rnacentral:rRNA from 1 species